rnacentral:rRNA from 1 species
GACGAACGCUGGCGGCGUGCUUAACACAUGCAAGUCGAGCGGAGCGGCGAACGGGUGAGUAACGCAUGAGUAACUGCCCCCCUCUCUGGGAGAACCGGUGGAAACGGCGGCGAAUACCGAAUAGUGGGGGAUGAAUCGCGUCGUAUCAGCUCGUGGGUGGGGUAGUGGCCGUCCAAGGCAACGCCGGGUAGACGGCCUGAGAGGGCGACCGGCCACAUUGGGCUGGGAUACGGACACAACGCCGACGGGAGGCAGCAGUGGGGAAUAUUGCACAAUGGGUGCAACCCUUAUGCAGCAACGCCGCGUGCUGGAGGACGGCCUUCGGGUUGUAACCCGCUUUCAGCCAUGACGCGGUAGUGGCAGAAGAAGCACCGGCUAACUACGUGCCAGCAGCCGCGGUAAUAC